rnacentral:rRNA from 1 species
AUGAGGUAUGAUGCAAUCAAAUUAGCAAUUGAGGCUAAGCUUACAUAUGAAAAAUUAAAUUGUGAACAGAGUGCCAUAUAUGACGAGAUUGUACAUGCUGUUCAUGUCGGGAAAGGUGGCCCUUUUUUUAUAUCGGGUUAUGGUGGGACUGGUAAAACAUUUCUUUGGAAUUCUAUCAUUUCCAAUUUACGAUCAGAAAGAAGAAUUGUUCUUGCUGUUGCUUCUUCGGGCGUUGCAUCUUUACUCCUGCCUGGUGGUCGCACAGGUCAUUCUAGGUUCAGGAUACCUGUUGACAUUACUGAUCGCAGUCAGUGUAGCAUUUCCAGAAAUUCUCAUUUGGCUGAAUUGUGUCAGAAAGCUUGCUUGGUUCUUUGGGAUGAAGCUCCUAUGACACACCGUUGGUGUUUCGAAGCCCUUGAUCGGACUUUGAAAGAUGUUCUUUCUGUUGAAAAUAAGGAAAAUGCUCUGCUACCUUUUGGUGGAAAGGUUGUCGUGCUUGGUGGUGAUUUCAGACAGAUAUUACCGGUUAUAGAGGGUGGCGCGAGGGAUGAUAUCAUUAAUGCAUCUUUGAUUUCUCCGUUGUGGCAACAUAUAAAAGUUUUGAAACUUCAUUGCAAUAUGCGUCUUCGAUGUCCUGGUUUAUCUCAUAAUGAAAGAGCAGAGCUUUCUGAAUUUUCUGAAUGGGUACAGAGUAUUGGAACUGGUUCUGUUCCUAUGCACUGUAAAGGUGAUGAAUCUGUGCCGUCUUGGAUUCAAAUACCUGGUGAUUUAUUGCUUCAGCCUAAAGCAGAC